rnacentral:piRNA from 1 species
UAAUGUGCAUCCUCAUGGAAA